GUCCUUUGAGUUUCCAACUCCAUUUAGUGUCUUUCCUUCUUUCAUUUUUCUAUUUUUGCUCUCGAAAGGAAAGGAGCUUUAGUACCCUUUAUUUACUUUUCGUGUGGCUUUUGCGAGGUCGUCAGUUGCCAGGAAUUUAGCCUGCCCAGGUACUUUAGCCUGCCCAGGUACUUUCUUCUAUCAUCACUUUUUUGCUCACUUUUCUUUACCCCUAUCCAUUUACCAGUAUGAGCUCGGAUGAAUCUAGGUUACAUUCUUAGGAGAUCAAGUAAGAAGAGUCCAUCCCAGUAGUUCUCCUCCUGUAGAAAAUGAAACUGAACUUAUACUAAUUAGAAGUCUUACGGAUAAAAGUGAGGUAUCUAGUUAGGAAGAGAGAGGUAAGCCCAUCCUCAGAAGGAAAUUGGGAAUCCUCAAAAAUUAGGUUAAUUGUAACUUAGGAGAGAAUAGAAUCCUAGAACGGUAAAUAUAGCAUACUAAACUCAAUUGAAAUGAUAUUUCCCACCCCUUAAACCGAGCUAAUGAGCCUUCGAUCGAGUAUGUCGCGCUUAACUCAGCUAUACUAAACCCCUGACUCAGGUUACCAUUUUCCAAAGUCAUCCGUAAGUUCCUAUUGUCUUGGGGAAUAGCUCCAACAUAACUUUGUCCCAAUGGGUAGAGAAAUUUGCUUGUUGCCAUGCUGUUGUGGCAUAGGUUAAGCUUUUCUGAAUUAAUUAUAGACCAAUUUAAUUCAUUGUACCUUUUAUGGGAGAUAUGAUAGACUCAAGUUAGCACUAUGCCAGUGUAAAACCUAAGACUGGAGGUUCCUUAGUUUUAGAUACUCUAUCCUCUAUUAAGAAGUGGAAGUCUGAUUUCUUUUAUGUUAUUAAGAAGUGGCAGUUUCACUCAACUGAGAUGGAUAGAAAUAACGUCGUUCCUAUUUGUUGCCAUAAAUUGUGUAAGUGUGCCUCGAUUUAUCUUCCAAAAUUCUGAUGUGUUUUGACUUCUGACCACCUAUCUCUCUUCUAGCAAAUUAUGUUCCUCCUGAAAUAACCCUAUAAGUUAGGUGAAGAGAAAUAGUGAUUAGAGCUUUAACAAGGACGAAGAUUGUGUGGCUUCUUGAUAUCAGAUCCCAGCUACUUCCAAGCAGGAUUGUUUCUUCGUAAUUUCAUGCCUCAACCUUCAAGUAAGUUAUGGAAGUCUUUACCUUAGCCUUAUUAUGGUAUUUUCUUAUCCUUUAAAUAACUUUUUUAUAUUCAAAUUCGCCUGAUAAAUAUGUUAUUCUUUUGUAGGUCAAACCCCAAUAAUAUUGGGAUACAAAGCUUCUUAGGCAUCUAAGAAAUGUACAAUGAUAGAGCUCAAAAAGUCUCAAAAAAAGGUGAGAUCUCAUCGAAGGGAAGUAAGACACCUCUUUGGCUAAGAAAACCAAAUCCACUAUUUUAGCCAAGGUAUUUCGGCCUCUGACUGCUAUUCCUUACCUAUCUUCUCCCAUUGGUUCCCCUAUUAAAGAAGCUAUUACUACUGUCGCUUCAACACCUGCGACCUCAGGCAUUUCUUGUUCACAUUUUCCUUUCCCCAAUCUCCAGUACCCCGAUAUUGAAGCUAUGGUUGGAACUCACCCAGAGAUACUCCUAGAUUUCUUCAAGCACCAUCACUUUCCAAAGAUAUGAUCUCAUCUUUCCCUUUUACUAUUAGAGACUCAGCUAACCUACUAACAAGAAGCUGUAAUGAAAGAAAACAAAGGUUUUUGGAAGAGAUGUCUAUAGAUGAGGUAUGUAUUACUGCAAAGCUAUAC
rnacentral:lncRNA from 1 species